AGGGCGCAGGGCGGAUGCCUUGGCACCAGGAGCCGACGAAGGACGGGGUAAGCGCCGAAACGCUACGGUGAGCCGCAAACAGGCCUUGACCCGUAGAUUUCCGAAUGGGGCAACCCACCGCAGGUAAUGCUGCGGUACCCUUAAGUGAAUUCAUAGCUUAAGGGAGGCAUACCGGGGGAACUGAAACAUCUAAGUACCCCGAGGAAAAGAAAGAAAACAUUCGAUUCCCUAAGUAGCGGCGAGCGAACGGGGAUAAGCCCAAACCCAGCACUUAACCGAGCGUAUAAGUAAUGAUACGGCUAAAGCGCGUUAUAGGCGUGUAAAAGCCAAGUCAAAGCUGGUACGCUGCGUUAAGUGCUGGGGGUUGCGGACCGGCGACAGAUAUCUUUUUUAUCUAGCCGAACCGGCUGGGAAGCCGGACCAAAGGGGGUAACAGUCCCGUAGGCGAAAGUUAAAAAAGGUUAAGCCGUGAUCCAGAGUACCACGGGGCACGUGCAACCCUGUGGGAAGCAGGGAGGCCCACCUCCCAAGGCUAAAUACUACCUGGUGACCGAUAGCGUAUAGUACCGUGAGGGAAAGGUGAAAAGAACCCCGGGAGGGGAGUGAAACAGAACCUGAAACCCUGUGCUUACAAGCAGUGGCAGCCCAACGCACUUAAGCUCGCUUAAGUGCUGGGUGGCCGCGUACUUUUUGUAGAACGGACCAGCGAGUUAUGUACCGUUGCGAGGUUAAGGGCUAAAGGCCUGAAGCCGCAGCGAAAGCGAGUCUAAAAUGGGCGAAAUUAAGUAGCGGUGCAUAGACCCGAAACCGGGUGACCUACCCAUGGCCAGGGUGAAACGCAGGUAAAACUGCGCGGAGGCCCGAACCGUGUUACCGUUGAAAAGGUAUGGGAUGAGCUGUGGGUAGCGGUGAAAUGCCAAUCGAACCCGGAGAUAGCUGGUUCUCCCCGAAAUAGCUUUAGGGCUAGCCUCGGGCAAAAGAUACAUGGAGGUAGAGCACUGAAUGGGCUAGGGGCCCAAUAAGGUUACCGAACCCUAUCAAACUCCGAAUGCCAUGAUAUUGAUACCCGGGAGUCAGGCUGCGUGAGAUAAGUUGCGCAGUCGAGAGGGAAACAACCCAGACCACCGGUUAAGGCCCCGAAGUGCAGGCUAAGUGGUAAAGGAUGUGGGAUUGCAAAGACAACCAGGAUGUUGGCUUAGAAGCAGCCAUACAUUUAAAGAGUGCGUAAUAGCUCACUGGUCGAGUGGUCCUGCGCCGAAAAUUACCGGGGCUGAAGUCUGCCGCCGAAGCCGUGGCCCAGCACUUAACGGAGCGUAUAAGUAAGGGAUUAGCGAAUAACAUCUAAAUGAUGCUAAAGCAAAGCCUGGACUGGUAUGCUGCGUUAAGUGCUGGGGGUAGGGGAGCAUCCUUUGCGGUGCGAAGCUGUAUCGAAAGGGGCAGUGGACUGCAAAGGAGCGAGAAUGCUGGUAUGAGUAACGCAAGGUAGGUGAGAAUCCUACCCGUCGAAAGCCUAAGGUUUCCUGAGGAAGGCUCGUCCGCUCAGGGUAAGUCGGGACCUAAGCCGAGGCCAGAAGGCGUAGGUGAUGGACAACAGGUUGAGAUUCCUGUACCGCUUUAAUGCGCAAUAAGGGAAGCAGGGACACAGAAGGAUAGGCACAGCGCACCGUUGGUAGCGUGCGUCCAAGCGCGCGAUGGAGGCGGGAUAGUAAAGCACGUCCUGCCAUAGAUCCAGAGCCGUGAUGGGGAGCGAAAAUUAAAGUAGCGAACUGAGCUGAAUUCACGCUGGCUAGAAAAGCUGCUACCGAGUAUUAAAGCGCCCGUACCGCAAACCGACACAGGUAGGCGAGGAGAGAAUCCUAAGACGAGCGGGGAAACCCCUGUUAAGGAACUCGGCAAAAUGACCCCGUAACCUCGGGAGAAGGGGUGCCUGGGUAGGGUGAUUGUAAACGUACAAGAGCCCGAGCAGGCCGCAGUGAAUAGGCCCAAGCGACUGUUUAUCAAAAACACAGGUCUCUGCAAAGUCGAAAGACGAAGUAUAGGGGCUGACGCCUGCCCGGUGCUGGAAGGUUAAGGGGACGGGUUAGCGGUUGAGAAACUGCGAAGCUCUGAACUUAAGCCCCAGUAAACGGCGGCCGUAACUAUAACGGUCCUAAGGUAGCGAAAUUCCUUGUCGGGUAAGUUCCGACCCGCACGAAAGGCGUAACGAUUUGGGCGCUGUCUCAACAGGGGGCCCGGUGAAGUUGUAGUACUCGUGAAGAUGCGAGUUACCCGCGAUUGGACGGAAAGACCCCGUGGAGCUUUACUGCAGCCUGGCAUUGGACUUUGGUGCAAUAUGUACAGAAUAGGUGGGAGGCUAGGAAGUAUGGACGCCAGUCUGUACGGAGCCGACUUUGGGAUACCACUCUUAUUGUGCUAGGGUUCUAACCAAGGUCCGUAAUCCGGAUCUGGGACAUUGCCAGGUGGGCAGUUUGACUGGGGCGGUCGCCUCCCAAAAUGUAACGGAGGCGCCCAAAGGUUUCCUCAGGGUGGUUGGAAACCACCCGCAGAGUGUAAAGGCACAAGGGAGCUUGACUGCGAGAGGGACACCUCGAGCAGGGACGAAAGUCGGGCUUAGUGAUCCGGUGGUACCGAGUGGAAGGGCCAUCGCUCAACGGAUAAAAGCUACCCCGGGGAUAACAGGCUGAUCUCCCCCAAGAGUCCACAUCGACGGGGAGGUUUGGCACCUCGAUGUCGGCUCAUCGCAUCCUGGGGCUGAAGUAGGUCCCAAGGGUUGGGCUGUUCGCCCAUUAAAGCGGUACGUGAGCUGGGUUCAGAACGUCGUGAGACAGUUCGGUCCCUAUCCGUCGCGGGCGCAGGAGGUUUGAGAGGACCUGUCCUUAGUACGAGAGGACCGGGAUGGACAGACCGCUGGUGCACCAGUUGUCCCGCCAGGGGCAUGGCUGGGUAGCUACGUCUGGAAGGGAUAAGUGCUGAAGGCAUCUAAGCACGAAGCCCACCUCAAGAUAAUACCUCCCACCCAGCACUUAACUUUGU
rnacentral:rRNA from 1 species